UACAGAGGUCUCAAGCGUUGUUCGGAUUCAUUGGGCGUAAAGGGUGCGUAGGCGGCGCGGUAAGUCGGGUGUGAAAUCUUUGGAGCUUAACUCCGAAACUGCAUUCGAUACUGCCGUGCUUGAGGACUGGAGAGGAGACUGGAAUUUACGGUGUAGCGGUGAAAUGCGUAGAUAUCGUAAGGAAGACCAGUGGCGAAGGCGGGUCUCUGGACAGUUCCUGACGCUGAGGCACGAAGGUCAGGGGAGCAAACGGG
rnacentral:rRNA from 1 species